rnacentral:lncRNA from 1 species
AUUCUGGUGGUGAUGGCAUUGGAGAAUGGAGCUUACUUAGGCUGGCCUGUAGGUGAGGAAUGGCUGAACACCCUGAGCCAGAUCUUUAUCUUGAUUGUAAAGACAAUAUUUCCUGACCAGCUGGAGCU